rnacentral:lncRNA from 10 species
GUUGCAUUUCUCCCUCAGAGGCCUGAAGAGGCAGAACACCCCAGAGGAGCCUGGGGCCACCACCCAGCAUCACUGUGGGAAAACGGCAGCAGGAAAUGUCCUCUCGCCUGCGUGCUCCACCUCGGUCCACGCCUUCCCUCCUUCUGGAAGCCUUGCCUGACCACUGGCCUGCCCCUUCUAUGGGAAUCACUACUGACCUUGCAGCUUAUUAUAGACUUAUAUGUUUUUUGCAUGUCUGACACCCAUGACUCCACCUGGACCUUAUGGCUCCACCCAGAAGCAAUUCAGCCCAACAGGAGGACAGCUUCAACCCAUUACGAUUUCAUCUCUGCCCCAACCACUCAGCAGCAAGCACCUGUUACCUGUCCACCCCCACCCCUUCCCCCAAACUGCCUUUGAAAAAUCCCUAACCUAUGAGCUUUGAAU